rnacentral:rRNA from 1 species
AUUGAACGCUGGCGGCAUGCCUUACACAUGCAAGUCGAACGGUAACAGGUCUUCGGUUGCUGACGAGUGGCGAACGGGUGAGUAAUACAUCGGAACGUGCCCGAUCGUGGGGGAUAACGAGGCGAAAGCUUUGCUAAUACCGCAUACGAUCUACGGAUGAAAGCGGGGGAUCUUCGGACCUCGCGCGGACGGAGCGGCCGAUGGCAGAUUAGGUAGUUGGUGGGAUAAAAGCUUACCAGGCCGACGAUCUGUAGCUGGUCUGAGAGGAUGAUCAGCCACACUGGGACUGAGACACGGCCCAGACUCCUACGGGAGGCAGCAGUGGGGAAUUUUGGACAAUGGGCGAAAGCCUGAUCCAGCCAUGCCGCGUGCAGGAUGAAGGCCUUUGGGUUGUAAACUGCUUUUGUACGGAACGAAAAGCCUCUUUCUAAUAAAGAGGGGUCAUGACGGUACCGUAAGAAUAAGCACCGGCUAACUACGUG